rnacentral:rRNA from 2 species
CGGCGGACGGGUGAGUAAUGCAUAGGAAUCUGCCCGAUAGUGGGGGAUAACCUGGGGAAACCCAGGCUAAUACCGCAUACGUCCUACGGGAGAAAGGGGGCUUCGGCUCCCGCUAUUGGAUGAGCCUAUGUCGGAUUAGCUAGUUGGUAAGGUAAUGGCUUACCAAGGCAACGAUCCGUAGCUGGUCUGAGAGGAUGAUCAGCCACAUCGGGACUGAGACACGGCCCGAACUCCUACGGGAGGCAGCAGUGGGGAAUAUUGGACAAUGGGGGCAACCCUGAUCCAGCCAUGCCGCGUGUGUGAAGAAGGCCCUCGGGUUGUAAAGCACUUUCAGCGAGGAAGAACGCCUAUCGGUUAAUACCCGGUAGGAAAGACAUCACUCGCAGAAGAAGCACCGGCUAACUCCGUGCCAGCAGCCGCGGUAAUACGGAGGGUGCAAGCGUUAAUCGGAAUUACUGGGCGUAAAGCGCGCGUAGGUGGCUUGAUAAGCCGGUUGUGAAAGCCCCGGGCUCAACCUGGGAACGGCAUCCGGAACUGUCAGGCUAGAGUGCAGGAGAGGAAGGUAGAAUUCCCGGUGUAGCGGUGAAAUGCGUAGAGAUCGGGAGGAAUACCAGUGGCGAAGGCGGCCUUCUGGACUGACACUGACACUGAGGUGCGAAAGCGUGGGUAGCAAACAGGAUUAGAUACCCUGGUAGUCCAC